GAUCAUGGCUCAGGGUGAGCGCUAGCUACAGGCUUAACACAUGCAAGUCGAGGGGCAGCAUGAACUUAGCUUGCUAAGUUUGAUGGCGACCGGCGCACGGGUGAGUAACACGUAUCCAACCUGCCGAUGACUCGGGGAUAGCCUUUCGAAAGAAAGAUUAAUACCCGAUGGCAUAGUUCUUCCGCGUGGUAGAACUAUUAAAGAAUUUCGGUUCAUCGAUGGGGAGUGCGUUCCAUUAGG
rnacentral:rRNA from 1 species